CCCGUCAGCCGGCCACUCAGUCAGUGAGGGAGUCGGUGAGUCGGCCGCUCCACCAUGUGGCUGGCCGCGUUCGGCCCACUGUUGCUCGCAGCUCUGCUCGAGGUCGCGGUCGCGGCCGAAGGCGCGGCGUCUGCAGCGACGGCGGCCUCUGCCGGCACGGCGGCGACGGCGGCUCACGGGCACCACCACCACCAGCAACAGCAGCAGCAGGUGUCUGGCGGCAGCGUGGGGAUCGCCGCUGCGCAGUCGUGGAUCCCCUACCGGCACUCCGCGCUAUCUCUUCAGGGAGUGCAGAGCGUGCUGCUGUCGAUCGAGGAGCGCCUGCGCAGCCUGGACGCGAGCGUCUACUCCUCGCGCUACGCGCCGCGCUGGGAGGUCAGCCUGGAGCAGCAGGGGCGACGCCUGGAGGCCGUCGAGGCGCGGCUGGGGCGCCUCGAGACGCUGCUUGAGAUACGGCUCGACAAGCUGGCCGAGUCGGUCAGCUCGCGGCAGCUGAAAGAAGAGCUGUCGAAGGACCAAAUGAGCCGCAAGUUUGACUCUGCUUAUGAACGACUGAACCACCGCCUCGGUUACAUGGAAGCCAGGCUGGACGUGGGGGUCUCCAAGCUGCAGUCCAGCGUGGAGAUGGCCAGCGAGCGUGUGGAGGCGGCGGUGCGGGGGCGGCAGUCCGGCGCCAGCACCGACGCCGCCCUGCUGGACCUCAGCGUCAACGUCGCGGACCUGCGGCGCCGCGUCGACGAUUGCCAGGCACGCAGCAACGACACCGUGGCGGCGAUGGCCAGCUCGAGCGCGCACCGGCUGGAGGACAUCGCGUCGUCGCUGGCGCAGCUGCGCUACGACUUCAACCGGACUCUGGCCUCCGCCAGCACGGAGCUGCACGACGCCAGCGACCAGGCGUCCUCCGGACCUGGCGUGCCAGACCCCAGCGACUACGUCGAGAAGGUCGUCGUCGCCAUGGAGAAGCAAGUCAGCAACCUCGCCAACAAGGUGACCAACAUGUACAACGAGCUGUGGCGGCGCACGCAGGUGCUGGAGACGCUGACCAAGGACUCCAUGUCUCUGUCCAACGCGACGCGGCGCGAGUUGCAGGAUGGACUGCGGUCCCUCAGCCGUCGGGGGGCCUUCCACGCCGACCGCGAGAAGCAGGACACCGUAGGUUCGCUGCAGGAGUCUAUGGAUGUGCUGGCUGGCAUCGUGCACCGGCGGAUGUCUGAACUCGGCCGCAAGCUCGACUCGAGCUUCCAGAUGCUGAUGCUGGCGCAGAACUUGUUCCUUGAGAGCUGCCACAGGCUGCAGCUGGAAGAGCCGCAACUGGAGGCCAAGCUGACGGCUGUUCUGGGGAGGAUUCUCGACACGCUUCACAACAAGAGCGCCUCGACGAUGCAGGAGGUGCAGCAGGUGCACGAGAUGCUCAAGUCGCACCACAGCCACCUGGUGCGCACCGUGGCGCACAACACGAACACGGUGAUGAAGGCGGCCGAGGAGGCGCGCAACCAGGGCCGCCAGAUCGAGCGCGCCAUCCAGGAGGUGACGGAGGCGCUCUCCGCCGCCGGCAAGGACCACGCCGCCACGCUGCGCCACGGUCACGCCGCCGUCGACACCCGGCUCGCCAACAUCCUCGGCGCGCUCCAGGACUUGCAAGAUCAGCUUGGAGAAAUGGUUCCAGAUAGAAGUGAGACUUCCAGAGAAAUAAUGAAUGCAGAAGCAUGUCUUGGAAAUCAGAAAAUUAUUACAAGAAUUGCUGCAGAAAUAGAGAAACACAACACAUUGUUAAUCACAAGCUUAAAAGAUAGAGGUGCUGUUACCACCUGUCCUUCAAUAGACAUACCUGAAUUCACAGACAAGAUUGCCUUGGCAUUUGAAGGGAAAGGAAUAGUAAUGUGUAAAGCUAAUGACGAUUCAAAUGAUGUCUCUCAAAUAAUACAACCGUUUGACAAAAGCUACACUUCUGAGAAUGUAUUCACACGAAGCAAUGAACACCAUGAUAAUGAUGGUAAAAGUAAUGAUAUUCCAGGCCAACGUGAUGAAGUAUGGGACAAGACAAAUGAGAAUAUUUCAAGUGCUUCUAAUGGGAAAAGUGCAUCACUAACUAGUAGCAGCAAAAGUCACCCAUUGAAUUACAGUAACUUAAACGAUAUUGCUGAGAAUUCAUCUUCGGAGUCAGAAGGAUUAUUUAAAACUGAAGGGAACAGAGAAAACUCUGAGUUAGGCACAAGCGGAAACUUUGUAUCACAGAUACAAGAGCAGCACAAUAAUUCAUCACAAAGCCAAUGGAAAAACAUACUCGCCAUCAUUCACGAUACAGAUACUGGAGAAAGUAAAGAAGUACAAAAGCCAUCACUAACUAUUGUACAUGAGAAGUCACCAGGGGAGAGGGGCAAUGGGUUCGGUUCUUCCUUCCACAUUCCAGAUGCCAUUCACGAUCAGCAUGACAGCAACACAACCCUACUGGCCAGGACACCCACUGAGCAAGAAAUCCAAGUUAUUGCAUUCUUACGAAAACCAGAAGAUGAUGAGACAAUUGAAAAAGAAAAUAGCAGUAAUGUAAUGAGGAGAUCAAUGAAUUACACUAACAAACCCAAAAGCAUAAACACAACAAUGCUUGCAGAAGAAAAACACCAAAAUGCAUCCCAUGAUAAUUCUGGAGGUGUGAGGACUUCUGGAAAUAGCGAACAUGUUAAACUAAGUGAUGAAACAGAACAUGCAAUUACAGUAAGCACAAACACAGUGAACUAUACAAAUGCACGCAACUUCAUACAAUCUGAGGCUAACGUCACAAGCAAUGAACCAUACAAUUUAGAAAUGAAUUUUACAAACAGUGGCCCAGUCGCUGUAGAUCAGGAACACAACACUGAAGUGUAUGUAUCAGAAUUUUUGAAAAAAAUAAUGGAAACCUAUGGUACAGACACACAAGUAAAUAAAUCAAUACAGGACUUCUGGAAAGUACUUUUGGAAAAGAAUCACCACCUCAAAACUGAUGAACACACUGUAGAAAAUGGUACAAGUGCAGAAUUACCUGAUACUUCAAAAGAGGAACCAAAUGAGAACAGCAGUUACAAUGAUGAUUAUAUAAAUUAUAAGAAUUUAGAAUUUCAUGCUCAGAGACUGAACAUUUCUACCAUUCCAGAAACAAUAAAAGAUGUAAAAAUAAAGCAAUAUGUUAACAAGUUAGAAGAAAUUGCUCAUGAACUAUCGAACAGGAAGGAAAGUUCACUUAACAACACUGGAAGUACCAUGAAUCACACACACAUUCAUACAGAACAGCAGUAUCUCUCUGCACAGCUGACUGAAGAGGAUGACAUGUCAUCUUACUAACAAUCUAUAUGUGAGUGUGAAUGGACUGUUUUGUGUGUGUGUGUGUGUGUGUGUGUGUGUGUGUGUGUGUGUGGAGAGAGAGAGAGAGAGAGAGAGAUAUGUAUAGAAGCCAAAGAAUACUACAAAAACUUGUCCAAAGAACAAUGAAAAUAAAUUUGCAACAAACACAAGUUCUGGAAAGUGUAUGUGCUGUGAAGUUUGUAAAAUAUUGUACCAUAGUUUAGCCUAUUGUGGCUGCAUAAGAAACUGUAAAUUUUUUGUAAUAAAUACAAACAAAGCGGUG